GGUGACCAAGGAGAUAUUGGGCCCAGGGGCCCUCCUCCCCACAACUCAUACGCUGGUCUGCACAGUAAUCAGAUCCUCACCGUCAAGGUUUGUCCCUCCGUAGCUCUGGUCUCCCAGCAGUCCUCUGUCUGUCUCUCAUGCUCUGCUGACCUUCCUGUCUCUCUCCACUGGACUACAGCUGCUGGGUCACCUCUGACCUCUCAAUCCUGACCUCUUACCUGGAACCUCACUCUGUCCUCGGCACCAUUCUGUCUCUCCUGGAGAAUAGAGGGAAGCUGCAGCCUGUAAUCUGUCCCUGACUGAUUACGUCACUGAUUUAUUUAUUUAUUUUCUCUGUUUUUCUUUCUCUAUAUCUCUCUGUCUCGUUCCCUUUCAAUACUCUGCUCUGCACCCUCUCUGUGGUCUAUUCUCCACUUCCCUCUCUUCCUUCUCUUCCCUCCCAUCCUCUUCCAUCUCUUCCUUCUCUUCACUCUUAUCCUUCUCUUCCCUCUCAUCCUUCUUCCCUCUCUCCCUUCUCUUCCCUCUCUUCCUUCUCUUCCCUCUCUUCCUUCUCUUCCCUCUCUUCCUUCUCUUCCCUCUCUUCCUUCUCUUCCCUCUCUUCCUUCUCUUCCCUCUCUUCCUUCUCUUCCUUCUCUUCCUUCUCUGCCCUCUCUUCCUUCUCUUCCCUCCCUUCUCUUCCCUCUCUUCCUUCUCUCUCUUUUCCUAUUGUCAUCUGUUCUCCUGCUUCAGAUGGUUUUUCCCCGCUAUGACCAUGGCUUUAUGUCUGGUGACCAGUCCAACUUCCAGAGACGCUUAAUAAAGGGUGACCAAGGGUCUCCUGGCCCCAGAGGCCCUCCUGGAAACACAGGAAAAGACGGGCCCCGUGGCCCGGCUGGAGAACAGUUCCAGCUGAUGAUAGAGAACUAGGUUACCACCAUUAGUUUCUGGUCACUCCAACACCUCAGUCAUCAAUAGCUGUGUCGACCACAACCGUGUUUAUCUGGUCGUGUUUACCACAGGGGUGCGACAGUGAUGGAGAGUGAUGGGGAAGGGUCUACUCUGAGUGCAGAGACCCCACGUUGACUGAAGCCUACUGUGCUGCCAGCGAGCUGCGGUUUACCUAAAACAGACCAAAAUAGGCCUCUUCUGGUUUCUGUUAAAGGCCAAAAUGUGAUCCAGCUAGUCUUAGUCUCUCCCAGUCACGCCCUGACCAUAGAGAGCCUCUUAUUCUCUAUGUUGGUUAGGUCGGGGUGUGACUAGGGUGGGUUAUCUAGGUUGUUUAUUUCUAUGUUGGCCUGGUAUGUUUCCCAAUCAGAGGCAGCUGUUUAUCGUUGUCUCUGAUUGGGGAUCAUAUUUAGGCAGCCAUUUCCCCACUGUGUUUUGUGGGAUCUUGUUUUGUUUUUGAGUAGUUGCCUGUGAGCACUCCAGAACGUCACGUUUCGUUUGUUCUUUAUUGUUUUUUUUGUACGGUUCACUUCAAAUAAAAUGUUGAACCGAUUUCACGCUGCGCUUUGGUUUGAAUGUUCUUACGACGAUCGUGACACUACCAGCCCUCCAUACUCAACCCCCCCCCCCAAGCCUCCCCUACCCCAGCCCUGUCACUCUGGGCUCCUGUAACAGAUAUGGCACUCUCUGGGUUCACCAACAGUUUCCCUGCCUCGCCAAACAAUAGCUCUUUCGCCUUAGGCCGUCACUGUUUCACUGUUUUAACUUUAACCCAGCCUGGGGUUGGUUAAUCUAGAACAACAGGCAUGAACUGUGGUUGGAGGGCAGGAGGGGUUAUGGGUAAGUUGUGUUUAUCCAAGAUCAGCACUGUUACCCAUAUUGGCAGUUGGCAUGGUGUCGAAGCUGGUCUUAAAUGAAAAAUGUCAGAAAGAGAGGGAAUUUAUUUAACCUAGUCCUUAUUUAAUGUACUUUCUGAAUUCUUUAAAGGAGUUGCAGAACGCAAAUCAGCAAAACAAAGCAGGGUGGUAGCCCUGUCCAUGUUGAAGUCAGACGUGUGAGAAACACAGUGAAGAAAGAGAGCUGUGUUCCCUGAGUGAAUGUGCUCUCUCUCUCGCUCUCUCUCUCUCUCUAAUGAGGUCAGAGGGCCAGGGACAUGCUGUCCACCAUGUCAUCAGAUGACAUAAUAAGGGGAGGAUGGUAAAGGUGAGAGUGCAGAAGACUUGGGAAACGGUUUGCCCAGUGGCAUCGAAGGGCAACAGACUGGAGAGGAGAGGAGAAUAGAUAUUGGUGAUAGGGAAAAUAUUAGACAAUAGGGUCCAAAGGUGAAGAGAGAGGGGAGAGUGUGUGUGGUGGUCUGUGUACGUGCGUGCACCCGUACGUUUAGAGAGAGAGGAAGGAAGCCAGAUGGAACACAUCCCUGUUCUCAAGGAGGCAUUGGAGAAAAUGGGAAAUAUGAGGAGAGAGUUAGUUAGAGUAACCUCACAUUCUAGUAUUUAUUACAGUAGAGCAGUAAGUGUUGGGAGUAGAAAAACAGAGAACAGACCUGAGAGACCUGAGAGACUUAAGAGACCUGACUGUCUGUCUGUCUGAGGGGCUGCUUACACAACAUCCCCAAGGCCAACUCUCCUGACCUGGCCUCUCUAUGGAGGGCUUCAACACACAUGGUUCUCUCCUGACCUGGCCUCUCCAUGGAGGACUUCAACACACAUGGUUCUCUCCUGACCUGGCCUCUCUAUGGAGGGCUUCAACACACAUGGUUCUCUCCUGACCUGGCCUCUCUAUGGAGGGCUUCAACACACAUGGUUCUCUCCUGACCUGGCCUCUCCAUGGAGGACUUCAACACACAUGGUUCUCUCCUGACCUGGCCUCUCCAUGGAGGGCUUCAACACACAUGGUUCUCUCCUGACCUGGCCUCUCUAUGGAGGGCUUCAACACACAUGGUUCUCUCCUGACCUGGCCUCUCUAUGGAGGGCUUCAACACACAUGGUUCUCUCCUGACCUGGCCUCUCUAUGGAGGGCUUCAACACACAUGGUUCUCUCCUGACCUGGCCUCUCCAUGGAGGGCUUCAACACACAUGGUUCUCUCCUGACCUGGCCUCUCCAUGGAGGGCUUCAACACACAUGGUUCUCUCCUGACCUGGCCUCUCUAUGGAGGGCUUCAACACACAUGGUUCUCUCUUGACCUGGCCUCUCCAUGGAGGACUUCAACACACAUGGUUCUCUCCUGACCUGGCCUCUCUAUGGAGGGCUUCAACACACAUGGUUCUCUCCUGACCUGGCCUCUCUAUGGAGGGCUUCAACACACAUGGUUCUCUCUUGACCUGGCCUCUCCAUGGAGGACUUCAACACACAUGGUUGAACACACACCAAGCAACACACACCAAGCAUACAAUACAUCCACCUGGAACACACACAAACACACACACUCACACACACGCACACAAUCAACAGCUUUAUUUAACGGAUUCAUUGUAAUCACCACUGGGU
rnacentral:lncRNA from 8 species